UGAGUACGAGCUGCUACGGCAGCGAAGUGGGUGAUGUCAAGCUUCCAAGAAAAGCCCUAUACCCGUUAAGGCAUGACGGCCUGUACCCGAAACCGACACAGGUGGGGUGGUAGAGAAUACCGAGGGGCGCGAGAUAACUCUCUCUAAGGAACUCGGCAAAAUGGCCCCGUAACUUCGGGAGAAGGGGUGCCACCGCAAGGUGGUCGCAGUGAAGAGGCCCAGGCGACUGUUUACCAAAAACACAGGUCUCCGCUAAGUCGCAAGACGAUGUAUGGGGGCUGACGCCUGCCCAGUGCCGGAAGGUUAAGGAAGCUGGUCAGCGCAAGCGAAGCUGGCGACUGAAGCCCCGGUGAACGGCGGCCGUGACUAUAACGGUCCUAAGGUAGCGAAAUUCCUUGUCGGGUAAGUUCCGACCCGCACGAAAGGCGUAACGAUCUGGGCGCUGUCUCGGAGAGAGGCUCGGCGAAAUAGAAUUGUCUGUGAAGAUGCGGACUACGUGCACCCGGACAGAAAGACCCUAUGAAGCUUUACUGUAGCUUGGUAUUGUGCCCGGGCUCUGAAUGCGCAGGAUAGGUGGGAGGCUUUGAUCCAUUGCUUGUGGGUGAUGGUGAGCCAACGGUGAGAUACCACUCUUUCAGAGCUAGGGUUCUAACAGCCACCCGUUAUCCGGGGGCUGGACAGUAUCAGGUGGGCAGUUUGACUGGGGCGGUCGCCUCCUAAAAGGUAACGGAGGCGCGCAAAGGUUUGCUCAGGCUGGUUGGAAAUCAGCCGACGAGUGUAAAAGCAGAAGCAAGCUUGACUGUGAGACCAACAAGUCGAACAGGGACGAAAGUCGGCUUUAGUGAUCCGACGGUUCUGAGUGGAAGGGCCGUCGCUCAACGGAUAGAAGUUACUCUAGGAUAACAGGCUGAUCUCCCCCAAGAGUUCACAUCGACGGGGAGGUUUGGCACCUCGAUGUCGGCUCAUCGCAACCUGGGGCUGAAGUCGGUCCCAAGGGUUGGGCUGUUCGCCCAUUAAAGCGGUACGCGAGCUGGGUUCAGAACGUCGUGAGACAGUUCGGUCCAUAUCCGGUGCAUGCGUAAGAACAUUGAGAGGAGUUCUCCCUAGUACGAGAGGACCGGGAGGAACGCACCUCUGGUGUACCAGUUAUCGUGCCAACGGUAAACGCUGGGUAGCCAUGUGCGGAGAGGAUAACCGCUGAAAGCAUCUAAGUGGGAAGCCCACCUCAAGAUGAGUGUUCUCAUGGCUUAAGCCAGUAAGGUCACGGGAAGAACACCCGUUGAUAGGCUCUACGUGGAAGCGCAGCAAUGCGUGAAGCGGAGGAGUACUAAUAGACCGAGGGCUUGAC
rnacentral:rRNA from 1 species